UACGUAGGGGGCAAGCGUUGUCCGGAAUCAUUGGGCGUAAAGAGCGUGUAGGCGGCCCAGUAAGUCCGCUCUGAAAGUCCGGGGCUCAACCCCGGGAGGCGGGUGGAUACUGCUGGGCUCGAGUCCGGAAGAGGCGAGUGGAAUUCCUGGUGUAGCGGUGAAAUGCGUAGAUAUCUGGAGGAAUACCGGUGGCGAAGGCGGCAUCCUGGACCGGCAUUGACGCUGAGGAGCGAAAGCCAGGGGAGCAAACGGG
rnacentral:rRNA from 1 species